UCCGGGGUAGCUCAAUGGCAGAGCGUCGCACUGUUAAUGCGAAUGUUGUGGGUUCGAGUCCCACCCCCGGAG
rnacentral:tRNA from 1 species